UCACAACUCACCCUCAUCAUUCUCGACACACCCUCACAUCACCUUCAAACUCUCGUUCUUUCAUAACACUUGUCUGGUAAAUCGAAAGUCACCGGAGAAACCCACAGCUCGUCGGAGAAGUUCAACGCCAUCGGAGACACCCGGAGAUUUCAACGGAAAUCAUCUCCCUCGUUCUUGGUUAAUCGCUCUCGUUUGUUCUCUUGGAAUCUUUACUCGUGCGCUCUCACAAGAAAACGCAACGCAAUCAAUUAACAUCGUUUCGAGUAUAUACUGUCAAUAUGGUUGAAAGUACGAGAUUCAAGAAUCAAGCUAGGAUGAACUCUAGAAACCCACAUAACAUUUGAAUUAUUGUUGAACAAUAUGUUGUGUUGUUUGGAACUAUGUAUUUCACUUUAAAGUUUAUGAAAUGAAUUAAAUAAAUUAUUGUCACAUUUAGUGUU
rnacentral:lncRNA from 1 species